CUGGCCUCGUUUAAUGUAAGAGCUGGAAGGUACUCCUUGCUGCAGGGUGCGGUGGUCAGGAAAGAGGCUCAAGGCCACCUUGCCUGCCCUGCCUCUCCAGCUCAGGGAAGGAAGCCUGUGAGCCUUCCUGGACUUUGCCCCAUUGAGGAAAAGGCGGGAGUCACAUUCAAACAGGUGCUGAGAAAGCACAUGUUUCCCAUGGCUUGUGGAUGGUCCUCUUUCAAGAAAGCUACAAACUUUGUUCAAGAGGCUGAGUGAUCAACUCAUCUAAGGCCUGUGUUGUUCCUGUGGAAGGCCCUGAAGAACUCAGAGGAAGCACCCUGGAGCUGUGACAGUUCCGUGAGAGUUGGCACCUCUACCAUCUAAACACAUGACCAGACUCACCCACUCACAGAAAGAUCGUAUGGCAUUACCCAGCUCUACAAAGAACAGCCACCUCAGAGGCUUUCACCGAGUGCUGUGUUAAUGUUUAUAACAGUCACACUACCCUCACGCAAGGUAGCCUGAUCCGUCUUACAGGAAGUGGAGAGUCAGGGAGAGGAAGGAAACUUCUGCCAGCCUCGGAGAUGCAGUUUCAUAAAUACGCAGAGACCUAGGCAGACCAGCUGCUUAAAUAAAAGUGUGCCUCCUUGAGGGCCUAAGAGUGCUUGCUGCUCAAUCACGAGGAUGUAAGUUCAAAUCCCAGGACUCAUGUAAGAACGUCUGUGCACAC
rnacentral:lncRNA from 1 species